rnacentral:rRNA from 1 species
ACUCAAAUGAAUUGACGGGAGCCCGCACAAGCGGUGGAGCGUGUGAUUUAAUUCGACGGUAAGCGAGGAACCUUACCAGGGCUUGAAAUCUAGCUGCACACCUAGGGAAACUUAGGAGCCUUCGAGGGUGCUAGACAGGUGCUGCAUGGUUGUCGUCAGCUCGUGUUGUGAAAUGUUCCCUUCAGUGGGGUAACGAGCGCAACCCCUGUCGCGUGUUGUUUUUCACGCGAGACUGCCGUGGUUAACACGGAGGAAGGCGGGGAUGACGUCAAAUCAGCAUGGUCCUCUGACGCCCUGGGCUAUACACGCGCUACAAUGGCCGGUACAAUGAGCUAUUUCGCCACUGCGCAAGCAGGAGCUAAUCUCACAAAGCCGGUCUCAGUUCGGAUUGAGGGCUGCAACUUGCCCUCAUGAAGCUGGAAUCGCUAGUAACCGUGAAUCAGCCACGUCACGGUGAAUACGUUCUCGGGCUUUGUACACACCGCCCGU